rnacentral:lncRNA from 1 species
CCAACCUCAUACCAGACUUGGGGUCAUGAUAAACUAUAGGAACCUUGUGCACACCACUCAAAUCCAAGCGAAGUAGAGGUGUCUUUGACACCAAGAGGUGCCAUAAUGUCAUCUCUCUAAUGCCCUCCUUCAUAAGGAUGAAUUGGGCAGAAAAUGCAGUGUUUCCAUCCACCAAAGGCCCAGACAAGAAACAGAAGCAGAGCAGUGGUUCUCUUCCACUUUUGCUUCCCCCAGCAUCAAGGUAGGCAACUCUUGGGAUUUGUAAAAGCUGAUAAGAGGAGAGAUUCUUCCAACACAACUGGGACUAAAUCUGCAGAUGGCACACCAAGCAGAGCCAAACCCACUCCCACCCUUCUGUUGUAUAGGGCUGAUGUUCCUGGCUUUCCUUCAGGUUAGAUUGGAUUCAAGCAUUACCACAAACAGUUUGAGAACUCUAACCUCUUAAUCUUUGCUUCUGCCCAAUCUGUCCUUAUUUCUACAACUACACUCAACAUUGGUUUUCAACCUCAGUAUAUUCCUUUGAUUCUCACAUAUUAAAUUAACUUUUUCUUCAGCAACUCCCUGGAAGCAGU